AGAGUUUGAUCCUGGCUCAGGAUGAACGCUAGCUACAGGCUUAACACAUGCAAGUCGAGGGGAAACGAUAUUGGAAGCUUGCUUCCGAUAGGCGUCGACCGGCGCACGGGUGAGUAACGCGUAUCCAACCUGCCCACCACUUGGGGAUAACCUUGCGAAAGUAAGACUAAUACCCAAUGAUAUCUCUAGAAGACAUCUGAAAGAGAUUAAAGAUUUAUCGGUGAUGGAUGGGGAUGCGUCUGAUUAGCUUGUUGGCGGGGUAACGGCCGACCAAGGCGACGAUCAGUAGGGGUUCGUGAGAGGAAGGUCCCCCGACCAUUGGAACUGAGACACGGUCCAAACUCCUACGGGAGGCGA
rnacentral:rRNA from 1 species